rnacentral:rRNA from 1 species
AUUGAACGCUGGCGGCAGGCUUAACACAUGCAAGUCGAGCGGGGGAGGUUGCUUCGGUAACUGACCUAGCGGCGGACGGGUGAGUAAUGCUUAGGAAUCUGCCUAUUAGUGGGGGACAACAUUCCGAAAGGAAUGCUAAUACCGCAUACGCCCUACGGGGGAAAGCAGGGGAUCUUCGGACCUUGCGCUAAUAGAUGAGCCUAAGUCGGAUUAGCUAGUUGGUGGGGUAAAGGCCUACCAAGGCGACGAUCUGUAGCGGGUCUGAGAGGAUGAUCCGCCACACUGGGACUGAGACACGGCCCAGACUCCUACGGGAGGCAGCAGUGGGGAAUAUUGGACAAUGGGCGGAAGCCUGAUCCAGCCAUGCCGCGUGUGUGAAGAAGGCCUUAUGGUUGUAAAGCACUUUAAGCGAGGAGGAGGCUACUUUAGUUAAUACCUAGAGAUAGUGGACGUUACUCGCAGAAUAAGCACCGGCUAACUCUGUGCCAGCCGCCGCAGUAAAAC